rnacentral:rRNA from 1 species
UACGGAGGGGGCCAGCGUUGUUCGGAAUUAUUGGGCGUAAAGGGCGCGUAGGCGGCCGGAUAAGUCUGAUGUGAAAUCCCACGGCUCAACCGUGGAACCGCUGGGCAUACUGGCGGCCUUGGGCCACCCAGGGGCAACCGGAACAGGCGGUGGAGCGGUGAAAUGCGUAGAUAUCGCCUGGAACGCCGACGGUGAAAACAGGUUGCUGGGGGUGUGCCGACGCUGAGACACGAAAGCCAGGGGAGCGAACGGG